AAAAAACUUUCCGACAAAAUAGGUUUCCGACUAAAUAAAGUUUCGAACAAAAUAUUACCGACUAAUUAUAUUUCCGAAAAAAAACUUUUCGACAAAUACGGUUCUGACCAAGUACGUUUCUAACAGAAAACGGUUCUAUAAAAUAUUUUUCAGAAAAAUUACGGUUCCAACAAAAUAUUUUCCAUUAUUUUACGCGCCUCCAAUUCAAAUUGCUCAAAUUUUAGUCGAAUUUUAAUAAAAAUUCACCCGGAUCAAAAUAAUAUGGUGAUAAGUCUGGUUACACAGUGCGACCUAACACCCGAGUUGACCUAUUCAGUUACUGCAGUGCAGCUACUUAAAUUGUGUGACCGCGUCAUAUCAUACGAAUUACUUGUCUUGUGCGAGUCGGUCAGUACCGAGUAUCCGAGUUACUGUUUUUACUAUCAUUUACUAGUACACGGGUGCAGUAACUGUCUACUGUCAAGUAGAACCUUAAGCGCGAACGGAAAUGAGCGUUCUUAAAACUUAUUUCAACACCCAAGUAUAGUUUGACCAUUUAAUUUAGGUAAAAUAUGUAAUUUGACCAUAAUCCUGACUAUGGU